rnacentral:rRNA from 1 species
GACGAACGCUGGCGGCGCGCUUAACACAUGCAAGUCGAACGGAAAGGCCUGCUUUCCCUUGUGGAUUGCGGGUACUCGAGUGGCGAACGGGUGAGUAACACGUGAGUGAUCUGCCCCCAACUUGGGUAUAAGCCUGGGAAACUGGGUCUAAUUCCCGAUAGGACUGCAGGGUGGUGCCUGUGGUGGAAAACGAUUUUCUAGUGGUUGGGGAUGAGCUCGCGGCCUAUCAGCUUGUUGGUGGGGUAAUGGCCUACCAAGGCGGCGACGGGUAGCCGGCCUGGGAGGGUGGACGGCCACAUGGGGACGGGGAUACGGCCCAGACUCCUACGGGAGGCAGCAGUGGGGAAUAUGGCACAAGGGGCGGAAGCCUGAUGCAGCGACGCCGCGUGGGGGAUGACGGCCGUCGGGUUGUAAACUCCUUUCGACCGCGAGGAAGCCACCUGGUUGGAAGGGUGGUGACGGUAGUGGUAGAAGAAGCACCGGCUAACUACGUG